UUUAAGUAUCUACAACUUAAGUAACUUAAUUUUCUUGAGUUGCUUCAAUCUUCUCAUUUGUAAAAUGAGGAUAAUAGCUUUCUUUCCAGAGGUAGUUGUGAAAAUUAAGUCAUUCAUUCAACUUUCAUUGAAUAAAUGUUAUUGAGUGCCUACAUAUAACAGGCACUAUGCUGGGUGCUGAGGAUACAAUGAUAAACAAAAGCAGAGAAGACUAUUUUGUUUUGAGCUUUCUGUCCACCAGAGGAGACAUCCAUCAAAUAAGCCUGCAAGUAAGUGUAAAAGUGGAAUGGUGACCUGGAGCACUAAGAGCACCUGCAAGGCAGGUCUGACCUCAGGGAGUUAGAGAAGGGUAGGCAGGUCUGUGGAGGUGAUGAUGGGGUGGGGAGGUGUGAAGGAUGAGGAGGUGACUGGAUAUUGGGCUAAGACACUGAGUCUUCUAGUCAGAGGGAACAACAUGCAGAAAGGACUCUAAGAACCACAGGAAGAAGAGGAAGUAUGGAAAGGCAAUAAAAACAGAUUUGCAAUUUAAAGCCAGAAUCUUGACUGCAACAGGUGGGGAUGGUGGGGUGGGAGGAGGUGGGGAACGACCACAGGCUGGUCAGUUUAGAAGCUAUUAUAAAUCCAGGUGGUAAUGGUCAGAAUGGAAAUAAAUGAAUUUAAUAAGUAAUCUCAGUAGGAAUUCAUGAAGUUAGUGAGACAAAUUUCUGGUUUGUGGCCUUGCCCGGCAGCAUCAUGGCUUAGCACAGCCACAGAGGUUAUGUUUGGCAGAUAAUGCUACCAAAAGUCAGAAGACAUGAUGGGGCACAAUAAUAGACAAUGGAUUCUAAGCUGGAUACAAAGGAAGUACAGGUUGGGGAAAGCAACACUGGGGAGAAUAGAGGGUUCAAACGUCCUAAUGAGGUUAGAACAUUGGUGGUAGGAGUGGUAGCUAAGCAGCCUGGAAGGACUGGCAGGCAAUGGUAGUGAGAAAUGGAGAUAACUGAGAUUACUGCUUCAGAAGAUGGAAUGGUUUUGGUGAUAACAAGGUUCAGGGUGUGAUGGUGGAAGAGAUUUCUACUUGAUGUUAACCAUCCCUCUCCUCCUACCCUCUGCAGGAGGUCACUGCCCAAAGGAAAAAGGUUUUUGUUGUACAAGUGGGAGGCAUAAUAGUCUAGCACAGUGCCUGGCUCAGAGCAGGUGCUCUAUGAAUGAGAGAUUCCUCGAGGUAGCAUUGGACUGCUGCUGCCAGUGCUAAGCUGUCUCCUGGGCCCAUACUCUGUACAGUCAUUUUAGAACUUCUUCCUGGAACCAGACCUCUUUAGGGGCUAGAAUAUGUCUAUUUUGCUGAACUCAACUUUAUACUGAAUAGUGUAUGGCAAAGUUUCUGUGAUGUGGUUUAAAUAACAUCUCGUAGUCAAAAACCAUUCAUUCCCUAAGACUAUAUCUCCAGUGUUUAAGCCACAUUCUGAUCAUUAUUUGACCUGUAUUCAUUUACCUCUCCAGGAAUACAUCCAUUCUGUAAGAUGAGAAAUGUAGAUUGUAACAACAGCCAGAAGGAUGUUGUAUUGGUUUGCUAAUGCUGCCAUAACAAAGCACCACAAACUGGGUGGCUUAGAACAACAGAUAUUAAUGAUCUCAUAAUUCUGCAGGCUAAGUCCAAAGUUGAGGUGUCAUCAGGCUUGGUUCCUUCUGAAACUCAUAAGAGAGAAGCCUUCCUUGCCUCUUCUACCUUCUGGUGUUUGCCAGUAGUCUCUGGUGUUCCUCAGCUUCUACAUGCAUCAUGCCAGUCUCUGCCUCUGUUGUUACGUAGUCAUCUUCCCCCUCUGUUCUUCGUUCCUCUUUUUUUAUUUUUUUUUUAUUUUUUUGAGACAGAAUCUUGUUCUGUCACCCAGGCUGGAGUGCAGUGGAGCGAUCCCGGCUCACUGCAACCUCUGCCUCCUGGGUUCAAGAGAUUCUCCUGCUUCAGCCUCCCAAAUAGCUGGGAUUACAGGAGUGUACCACCAUGCCCAGCUAAUUUUUGUAUCUUUAGUAGAGACAGGGUUUCACCAUGUUGGCCAGGCUGGCCUCGAACUCCUGAUCUCAAGUGAUCCACCUGGCUUGGCCUCCCAAAGUGCUGGGAUUACAGGCAUGAGCCACCGCACCUGGUCCUUCUCUCCUCUUAUAAGGACAUCAGUCAUACUGGAUUCAGGGCCCACCCUACUCCAGUAUGACCUCAUCUUAACUAAUUACAUCUGCAAGGACCCCAUUUCCAAAUGAGAUCAUAUUCUGAGGUAGUAGGAAUUAGAACUUCAACAUAUCUUUUUUUUUUUUUCAGAGGUGGGGAGAUAGAGACACAAUUCAACCCAUAACAGAUGGGCUUAAAAGAACCCAACUAAAUAUUUCUCUCUUCACAUUUUCCUGGUGGUAAUAUGUCUGAUAACUGGGAGCCCCACUACUGUAGGUUGGAAUUGUUGAUCUAAAUAAAACCUAGUUCUGAAUCCCCUAGGAAGCGAGGUGAGUUUUACCUCAGUUUAGGGGCUAAAUCUCUGCAGACAGGAACACCUGGCUACUGUGGUGGCAGGACUUUGAGGGAUUCGAUGAGGACAGCACCUCAAUCAUUAUCAAGCUUCCUGCAAGGGAGUCGAAUGUUCAAGAUUCAGUUACUAAUCUUGCUUCAGUGCAGUUGCUCAAAAGUAUAAACAAUUUAUUGUGAAAUCUUGAAGAUGUUCCUUGGUUUCCAUCUUAUUUUUUAGUUACAUUAAAUAAUGACCAAGAACCACAAUUAGAUGUUCAUGCAUUAUAACAAGGUGUUGCAGUUGCACAGGAGAACUGGAUUUUGCUGAGCCUAAGGAGAAUGCAAAACGCAUUGCAAUAAACAAAAUCCACUUCAGCAUCAUUCAGUUCAAUUUAAAAUGAUAGUGGCAUUCAGGCUGCGUACAGCAGCAUUACACUUUAACACCAUUCAUGAUUUGGCCUCCAGACUACAACAACAUUCAAUUUAGUUACUCUUUUGAAUUGUGUGCUAGAAGCAUGGACUUUGGAAUCAGACAGAUUUGAAUUUGCUUUCAGGCUCUAAAUCCUGUUUUUUUCCCACUGUGGAAGGCAGAAUAAUGUUCCCCCAAAGAUGUGUAUUCCCUAAUCCCCAUCAACUGUGAAUAUGUUCAUUUACAUGGCAAAAAGGACUUUGCAGAUUUGAUUCAGGUACAGACUCUAGAGAGGAGAGUAUCUUGCAUUAUCCAAGUGGGCGCAGUCUAAUUACUUAAUCCUUAAAAGCAGAGAACCUUUCCCAGCUGUGGUUAGAGAGAGAGGUGAUGAAGGAAAAAGUGUCAGAGAGAUGUGGUGUUGCUGACAUUGAAGAUGGAUAAAGGGACCACGAAUUAAGAAAUGCAGGCAGCCUCUAGACACUGGAAAGUGUGGACCCAGCUGCCAGCUGGUGAGCGUCUGCAUCUGGGUGUGGUGCCCAGGCCUUGCUAUUGGUGUGAUGUAUGCACCAGCAGCAGCUACCUCGUCUUGGGAGCUCAUUAGGAUCGGGAUCGCCGAAUCUCAGGCACUCACCUCAGACUGACUGACUUAGAAUCUGGAUUUUUAGGCAAGAUCCCCAGGUGAUUCCUAGGCAUUUUGAAGUCUGAGAGACACUGGACUAGUAGUUUUCCAACAUCACAUAUGCUAACAGAACAGACGCCUGGGCCCAGAAUUUAUGGACGUGGGCCUUCAACGUGUGUAUUUUUAAUAUGCUUCUGGGUUAUUUCUAAUGCAC
rnacentral:lncRNA from 10 species